GCGGGAUUAGCUCAGUUGGAUAGAGCGUCGGCCUCCGGAGCCGAAGGCCACAGGUUCGAAUCCUGUAUCCCGCG
rnacentral:tRNA from 1 species